rnacentral:lncRNA from 1 species
AAUAGUUUUAUAAUUGUUUAUAAAUUUAGAAACUUAUAGCUUUAUACACAUCUUAUGUAGUUUUAUAUAAACUUCUUCAUCCUUCAAUUUUGAUAGCACAAUAAAAAAAGUUACCUCAACUAUAUUAAACAUUUAAAAAAGUUAUCAAUUUAUAAAUAUUUAUAAAUUAGCUUACUUCAUUCUUUUUUUUAAACACAACUUACUUUAUUCAUUUUUGAAGUUUCACUUACUUUACCACUUUCAUCAACUUAUGUAUCAUUUCUACUUGUUGUUCUUCUUCUUCUUCUCUCUGCCCGGUUUACAAAAACACAACAUAUUUAUAAAUAUUUAUAAAUUUAGAAACUGAGAGUUUUAUACACAUCCUAUGUCGUUAAAUUUUGCCUUCAUUCAGACAAAAUCCAAAACACAUUCAUAUUCAUACAUUUAUCAAGCACUAGAUUCUACAAGAAACUCCACAACAAGAUUUAUAGGAUAAUCACAAUGCAAUCAUUAGAAAAGAUUAUAUUUCACUUACUUCUUU